GUGCCAGCCGCCGCGGUAAUACGGAGGGUGCAAGCGUUAAUCGGAAUUACUGGGCGUAAAGCGCACGCGGGCGGUUUGUUAAGUCAGAUGUGAAAUCCCCGCGCUUAACGUGGGAACUGCAUUUGAAACUGGCAAGCUAGAGUCUUGUAGAGGGGGGUAGAAUUCCAGGUGUAGCGGUGAAAUGCGUAGAGAUCUGGAGGAAUACCGGUGGCGAAGGCGGCCCCCUGGACAAAGACUGACGCUCAGGUGCGAAAGCGUGGGGAGCAAACAGGAUUAGAUACCCUGGUAGUCCACGCUGUAAACGAUGUCGACUUGGAGGUUGUGCCCUUGAGGCGUGGCUUCGGAGCUAACGCGUUAAGUCGACCGCCUGGGGAGUACGGCCGCAAAGGUUAAAACUCAAAAUG
rnacentral:rRNA from 1 species